CACGCCCAGGCAUUAAUGAUCCCUUUAAAGACCCCAUCUCCAAAAGCAGUCACAUUCUGAGGUCCUGGGGUUAGGGCUUCAGAUGCAGGUCGGGUGGAGGGACACAGUUCAGCCAUCACCAGCACCAAGCCUGCCUUUCUGGAUUCUUCCUUGUGAGCCAGGAUUCCUGGCACCUCCAGGUUUCCUCCCGCUGAGUGCCCCUGGGCGUGGCAAGGCCCUGCUCUGGCCUUAGUCUUCGCCUCGGGAAGGAUCUCCCAGGAGACUUCGUGCAGGCGCGUUCCCUCCUCUGCGCUUCCUUUGAGGCUGGCUCCUCUAGGGGUGCUUUGCUGUGUAGGUUGACGUGGGCAGCGCCCUCCCCGCUUAGCGGACUGCAGAUUCCUGCAGGAUGGCGCCUGUGCUCAGCUGCGUGGGAAACGCCCGAGCAGCAGCCAGGGCCUGGAGCACCCAGCACACGCUUGUCAGGCACAGCUGAGGCCAGGACGAGCACUGGGUGCCCAGGGAGGCCCCAGCAUUGCCGGAGUGGCAGGCACCCCACAAGCACGCAUAGAUGGAGAUAGAACCGGGUGCCGGCAACCGGAGGACCUGGGGCCCUGGUGUAGGCGGGACGCCCCGGGUAUUUGAACUGAAACCUGCCUCGUGAGAAGGGGCCAGCAGUGUGCAAGUGUGAGGUGGGGUGUCCCCCGCAGGGCAGCAGCCAGUGUGCAAGUGUGAGGCGGGGUGUCCCCCGCAGGGCA
rnacentral:lncRNA from 1 species